UACGUAGGGUGCAAGCGUUAAUCGGAAUUACUGGGCGUAAAGCGUGCGCAGGCGGUUAUAUAAGACAGUUGUGAAAUCCCCGGGCUUAACCUGGGAACUGCAUUCGUGACUGCAUAGCUAGAGUACGGUAGAGGGGGAUGGAAUUCCGCGUGUAGCAGUGAAAUGCGUAGAUAUGCGGAGGAACACCGAUGGCGAAGGCAAUCCCCUGGACCUGUACUGACGCUCAUGCA
rnacentral:rRNA from 1 species